GAUGAACGCUGGCGGCGUGCCUAAUACAUGCAAGUCGAGCGAACAGACGAGGAGCUUGCUCCUCUGACGUUAGCGGCGGACGGGUGAGUAACACGUGGAUAACCUACCUAUAAGACUGGGAUAACUUCGGGAAACCGGAGCUAAUACCGGAUAAUAUAUUCAACCGCAUGGUUCAAUAGUGAAAGACGGUUUUGCUGUCACUUCUAGAUGGAUCCGCGCCGCAUUAGCUAGUUGGUAAGGUAACGGCUUACCAAGGCAACGAUGCGUAGCCGACCUGAGAGGGUGAUCGGCCACACUGGAACUGAGACACGGUCCAGACUCCUACGGGAGGCAGCAGUAGGGAAUCUUCGGCAAUGGGCGAAAGCUUGACGGAGCAACGCCGCGUGAGUGAUGAAGGUCUUCGGAUCGUAAAACUCUGUUAUUAGGGAAGAACAAAUGUGGAAGUAACUAUGCACGUCUUGACGGUACCUAAUCAGAAAGCCACGGCUAACUACGUG
rnacentral:rRNA from 1 species